AUGAAAAUAAAUAAAAUGAAUGAAAUUCAUUUUUUAUAAAUGUUCUCAACAAAUAGCCGCCGACCGGAGGGAGGGGCAGUACAUCUU
rnacentral:sRNA from 1 species